rnacentral:rRNA from 1 species
GACGAACGCUGGCGACGUGCCUAAUACAUGCAAGUAGAACGCUAAAGGAGGAGCUUGCUUCUCCGGAUGAGUUGCGAACGGGUGAGUAACGCGUAGGUAACCUGCCUGGUAGCGGGGGAUAACUAUUGGAAACGAUAGCUAAUACCGCAUAAGAGUAGAUGUCGCAUGACAUUUGCUUAAAAGGUGCAACUGCACCACUACCAGAUGGACCUGCGUUGUAUUAGCUAGUUGGUGAGGUAACGGCUCACCAAGGCAACGAUACAUAGCCGACCUGAGAGGGUGAUCGGCCACACUGGAACUGAGACACGGCCCAGACUCCUACGGGAGGCAGCAGUAGGGAAUCUUCGGCAAUGGACGGAAGUCUGACCGAGCAACGCCGCGUGAGUGAAGAAGGUUUUCGGAUCGUAAAGCUCUGUUGUAAGAGAAGAACGAGUGUGAGAGUGGAAAGUUCACACUGGGACGGUAUCUUACCAGAAAGGGACGGCUAACUACGU